GAUAAACGCUGGCGGCGUGCUUAACACAUGCCAGUCGAACGAAGUUUUUCUUUCGGGAGGAACUUAGUGGCGGACGGGUGAGUAACGCGUGGGUAACCUGCCCUGUACAGGGGGACAACAGCUGGAAACGGCUGCUAAUACCGCAUAAGCCCUUAGCACUGCAUGGUGCAUAGGGAAAAGGAGCAAUCCGGUACAGGAUGGACCCGCGUCUGAUUAGCCAGUUGGCAGGGUAACGGCCUACCAAAGCGACGAUCAGUAGCCGAUCUGAGAGGAUGUACGGCCACAUUGGGACUGAGACACGGCCCAGACUCCUACGGGAGGCAGCAGUGGGGAAUAUUGCACAAUGGAGGAAACUCUGAUGCAGCGACGCCGCGUGAGUGAAGAAGUAUUUCGGUAUGUAAAGCUCUAUCAGCAGGAAAGAAAAUGACGGUACCUGACUAAGAAGCACCGGCUAAAUACAUG
rnacentral:rRNA from 1 species